UUGCAGACAGCUGUGGACUGUCCUCGCGAGAGUGGACACCAGACCCCCUGCAUCCCUUUUAUAGCCCCCGAGCUUCUGUGUGCAUUGCUGCCAAAGUCUCACACCUGUGACCUUCUUCAGAGCACUGUCCAUGAAGUACUGGAGCUGCAUCCCUGUGAAUUCAUAAACCCAGGGAAGCCCAACUGCCAAUGACUGCUUCAUGGGUACAUACGGCCAGUUCCCGUGUCUUGAGAAGCAGAAACUGAAGCCCAGAGAGGUGCAUCAGCUGUCUGAAAGAAACCAAGAAGCAACUGUCAUGUGGCAGAGCUGGGACUUGAAGCCAAUUCCCCACAGCCCCUCUACCAAGCUGCUGAGCUGCUGCAGGGCAGGAGGCGCCCCAGCCCUCUCCCCGAAGCACUGAACUGCUCCCUGUCCUGGAGGGAAAAGAAAUCUGGCUGCCUUGAGUCGAGGAACCGCACCACUCAUAUCUCACACUUCUCUCCCCACCUCUCCCUCGAACACCAGCUUCUGCUAAAACAAUCCUUUGCACAAGCUUGCCUCUCUGCCUUCCUGUCCCCCAUCACUCUGCACCUCAGGUGACAUUUCGGCAGUCCGAUCAGCCCUGCCCAGAUCUCUCCCCAGAGGAAAGAGGCUGUUUUUGGUGUCUGGCGGUGCCUGGCACAGGUGUGUAUCCUUUGAUGGAGUUGGCCUUGGGGACCUGAGGGCAGAUGUUCUAAAUGAACAGCACCCAACUGCUAGUGAUCAUCGUGGCCUUUUCCGCUCACAGCCCCCGCAGCCCUCAGGGAAAAGGAGUCUACGCUCUACUCACGCAGGAGGGGAGACUGGGAAGCCCAAGAUCUGAUGACAGAGGCAAAGGCGUGUCAGAGCCCAUGAACCUCAAGCCUCUUCAAGGGGGGUAUUCUUCAUCCUCACGCGCAACCUAACAGAAGCCGUGCAACAGAGGAUCAGAGCUCACAGACUGUGGAGUAUCACUACCCUCCAUGAAACUCACUUUCCCUGUCUGCAAAGCGGAACCAAACCUUACAGCUUGUCCUGAGAGACAAUGAAUACUGGUCGUGGUGGUAUUCUGUAGCCAUCAUCUGCUAACUGUGUGACCAAUCCUCUCUGUGCCUCAGUUUCUUCAUCUGCAACAUGGGUUGCACAGUAGAACUUUCCUCAGAGAUUUGUUGUGAAAUAAGUGAGUGAGGUCAGUAAGAAAUGUGGGUUUGGAGAAGGAUUAAAUAGGAGUGACCAAGCCUCCGGGUUUGCUCACAUCCGACCGGUGGGAGCUCUUGGGAAAAUCGCCAGCAAACCAAGACAAGCUGGUCACUCAAGGCUUCGAUGAGUGAGUGCAGUGGCUGGCGCCCAGUAAGAUUUGAUAAGCAUUAAGGAGCUCAACACGUGAUGCUCAAACCAAUGAGCUCAGAAUCUAGAAGCUCCCAGAUGGUUCUCACGUGCAGCCGAUGUUCAGAA